UAUGUGAUCGUCUCUCGCAUAUCAAUAAGCGGAGGAAAAGAAACUAACAAGGAUUCCCCUAGUAACGGCGAGUGAAGCGGGAAGAGCUCAAAUUUGAAAUCUUAAAGGGUUUCCCUUUACGAAUUGUAGUUUAAAGAAGUGUUUUCUGUUGAGGUUUUGGUAAAAGUUCUUUGGAAUAGGACAUCAUAGAGGGUGAGAAUCCCGUAUUUGACCUUUACUUUCAACUUUGUGAUACACUUUCAAAGAGUCGGAUUGUUUGGGAAUGCAGUCCAAAAUGGGUGGUAAAUUUCAUCUAAAGCUAAAUAUUGGCGAGAGACCGAUAGCGAACAAGUACCGUGAGGGAAAGAUGAAAAGAACUUUGAAAAGAGAGUUAAACAGUACGUGAAAUUGUCAAAAGGGAAGCGUUUGACACCAGUGUUGUUUUUCUGAAAAUCAAUUAAAGAACUGUUUAUGCUAAGCUGUUUAGACUUUAUCAGCUAUCUGUUUAGUUUUGAGCUUUUCUUUAAUGCACUUUUCAGUUAACAAGUCAACAUCAAUUUCUUUUGCUGUAAAAAAGCUUGAGGAAGGUGGCUUGAGAUUCGUCUUAAGUGUUUAUAGCCUCCUGCCUAUGCAGUCGGAGAGAUUGAGGUCUGCAGCGUAGAUCCUUCGGGGCUAAAUGCAUUUGUGCUAAGUUAUAGCAUUUUAUAGACAACUUGUUGACUAUGAUUUGUCUUGUAGCUUACUCGCUUAUGUUAUUUUACCUACGCUUAGGAUGUUGAGCGCAUGUCUCUCUCU
rnacentral:rRNA from 1 species